rnacentral:rRNA from 1 species
UUUAGUGCCGAUUUCAGUGGGUUACUCUGAACUUACUUACUUCUAAAUCCUCCUUCUUAAGUGUUAUUUCAGCACUUGUUUCGUAUGCCCUGUGAGGGAAUGUAGCCCAUUUUGUACCCCUUCAUUGGCUACGCCUCGACCUGACGUUUUGAGGGGAGGUUGAUAUUUUGCCUAAUAUUAUUCUUUGAAAGGUAGACUGAAGACGGCGGUAUAUAGGCUGGAUGCGAGAAGGGGUGAGGUAGAACGGGGAUUAUCGGUUAAGAAACAGGCUCCUCUAGGGGGAGUAAAGCACCGCCAGGUCCUUUGGUUUUUAAGCAGUUGCUCGUAGUAUCCUGG